GAUGAAGAACGUAGUGAAAUGCGAUAAGUAAUGUGAAUUGCAGAAUUCAGUGAAUCAUCGAAUCUUUGAACGCACCUUGCGCUCUUUGGUAUUCCGAAGAGCAUGCCUGUUUGAGUGUCAUGAAAAUAUCAACCUUGACUUGGGUUUUGUGCUCUAGUCUCGGCUUGGAAUUGGGUGCUUGCCGCUUUUACGAGCGGCUCACCUUAAAUGUAUUAGCUGGAUCUGUCUUUGAGACUUGGUUUGACUUGGCGUAAUAAGUAUUUCGCUAAGGACAUUCUUCGGAGUGGCCUCGUUUCUAGGACGCUUGUCCGCUUUCCAAUACAAGUUCCACCUCGUGGACAUGACUUUUUAUUAUCUGGCCUCAAAUCAGGUAGGACUACCCGCUGAACUUAAGCAUAUCAGUAAGCGGAGGA
rnacentral:misc_RNA from 1 species